rnacentral:rRNA from 1 species
UACGAGAGGCCCAAACGUUAUUCGGAUUUACUGGGCUUAAAGAGUUCGUAGGCGGUUCGUCAAGUGAGGGGUGAAAGCCCUCGGCUCAACCGAGGAAUUGCGCUUCAAACUGUCGGGCUCGAGGGAGAUAGAGGUGAGCGGAACUGAUGGUGGAGCGGUGAAAUGCGUUGAUAUCAUCAGGAACACCAGAGGCGAAGGCGGCUCACUGGGUCUCUUCUGACGCUGAGGAACGAAAGCUAGGGGAGCAAACGGG